GACGAACGCUGGCGGCGUGCUUAACACAUGCAAGUCGAGCGGUAAGGCCCUUUCGGGGGUACGACGAGCGGCGAACGGGUGAGUAACACGUGGGCGACCUACCCUCAGCUUCGGGAUAAGCCUGGGGAAACUGGGUCUAAUACCGGAUAUGACCUUCCCUCGCAUGGGGGUUGGUGGAAAGUUUUUUCGGCUGGGGAUGGGCCCGCGGCCUAUCAGCUUUGGUUGGU
rnacentral:rRNA from 1 species